UGCCAGCCGCCGCGGUAAUACGGAGGGGGCUAGCGUUGUUCGGAAUUACUGGGCGUAAAGCGCACGUAGGCGGACCAGUCAGUCAGAGGUGAAAUCCCGGGGCUCAACCCCGGAACUGCCUUUGAUACUGCUGGUCUAGAGAUCAUGAGAGGUGAGUGGAAUUCCGAGUGUAGAGGUGAAAUUCGUAGAUAUUCGGAGGAACACCAGUGGCGAAGGCGGCUCACUGGCAUGAUACUGACGCUGAGGUGCGAAAGCGUGGGGAGCAAACAGGAUUAGAUA
rnacentral:rRNA from 1 species